rnacentral:rRNA from 1 species
GACGAAGGGGGCUAGCGUUGUUCGGAAUUACUGGGCGUAAAGCGAGUGUAGGUGGUUGUCCAAGUUGGAUGUGAAAGCCUUGAGCUCAACUCAAGAAAUGCAUUCAGGACUGGGCGGCUAGAGGACCGGAAGAGGUAAGUGGAACUGCGAGUGUAGAGGUGAAAUUCGUAGAUAUUCGCAAGAACACCAGUGGCGAAGGCGGCUUACUGGUCCGGUUCUGACGCUGAGGCGCGAAAGCGUGGGGAGCAAACAGG